CGGAAAUCACAACCCCCCAGAAAUCACAAUCCCUUCUUAGGCUCUUGAGCUGUGGGCUUCCUCUUCUUCUGGCGAUAGUCACCAGCCCAAAGGAGCCUCGUCUGCAGGCCGGGCUCCGCGGGGAAAGGACAGAUUCCCCAGGACGAGCUGUCCAGCUCCUGCUUAGAACAGCGCUUGGCACAUAGUAAGCGCUUAACAAAUACCAUCAUUAUUAUUAUUAUUUGGGAAGCAGCAUGGCCUGGGAGACAGAAGAUCAUGGGUUGUAAUCCCCGUUCUGCCAUUUGUCUGCUGUAUGGCCUCGGGCAAAUUCCUUUACUUCUCUGGGCCUCAGUUACCUCAUCUGUAAAAUGGAUAUUGAGACCGUGAGCCCCAAGUGGGACAGAUUUGCUUGUUUGCACCCCAGCGCUUAGUACAGUGCCUGGCACAUAGUAAGCGCUUAGCAAAUACCAUUAUGAUUAUUAUUUGGGGAGGGGUGAGGGAGGGCGGCUGCAGAACCCGGACAUAGCGCAGGCUAGGGGUGGGUGGGGAUGGGUGGGGGUGGAGGGGAUCCUGAGCGGCUGGUGACCGGGCUUCCUUCUUCUCCGGGCUCUCGGUUCCCCUUCUGGAGACCAGAAUGACGCCGAAGGUCAAAGCAUGCUGACGCCAGGCCCGCAGGGCGGACCGGCCAGGACCGGACCGGCCUGUCCGGGCUGCCUUGGCCCGAGGCUCCGACCCCGUCGCCCCCCAACCGGUUCCUAGAGGAGCCCGAGGGGAGGAGGUCGUGCUGGCCCCCCAGGACUGCCCAGCUGAUCCCUGACCCCUUUCCCAGGACCACCACCACCCCCCCCCAAUCCCGCCUGGAGGGCAGCAACGACACCGGAGCAGCCCCGAGCGACCCCAUCGCCCCCCACCCCUUGGACAGCUUUGCAGGCCGGUUUCUCUUCUUAAGAGAAAAAUACCAGGAAACUUGUUGGAACCGGGAAGAAGCCACUUCCCUCCCAAGAACCGUGCCCGCCUCCUCCUCCAGGUCUCCCUCCAUCCCCGUCCCCCUUCUACCCUCUAGACCCCACCUCCACCCCUUCACCCCAUCAUUCAUUCAUUCCAUCGCAUUUAUUGGGCGCCUACUGUGUGCAGAGCACUGUACUAAGCGCUUGGGAAAGUACAAUACAGCAAAACAGACAAUCCCUGCCCACAACGAGCUCACAGUUGGGGUGGGGGGGGGGAGACAGACAUCAGUACAAGUAAAAUCUAUCCCUCCUCCCCAUCCUUUCCCCCUCUCCACCCCCUUUAUCCCCACCCUGCAUUCUCUCCACUCCCAAGACACCCACCCUCCCAGCCCCUCCAACCCCCCUACCCUUCCCAGCCCCUCCAACCCCCCUACCCUUCCCAGCCCCUCCACCCACUACCCUUCCCAGCCCCUCCAGCCUCUGCCGCGGAUCCGGCCUGCUGCUUUCACUGGUCUUCGCGUCUGCAAAGGUAUCUGCUCUCCUACCAGCAGGAAUGCUGCCCUGGCCUUGGGCCAGUCAAGGCUCAGCGAACAGGAUAAAAUUUCAGUUCAGAUUUGCGGGAAGUUGCCAGUGUUGGGAGUAGAGAUCUGGUUUGGCGUUUGUCUGGGAGUACCCUUCUGGUGAGAGUCUGGACCAGGGGUGUAAAGGAGGUCAGGGAGAACCGUGGUCGACUUGAAAUCGCAAGAUCCUCCCGAAGGACACCGAAGGCCCAGGGUUACUGAAAACCUAAACGAGCGACCACCGAGCGAGGAACUGAAGUUGGGACAGCCGUGGCUUUAAUCAGCGUGGUAGGGAGCAAGUCGGACGCUCCUGGUUUUGGUUUCCCCGAGAGAAAGGGUGAAGAAGAUGCGAUAGUUUUCCUCCUGGGGAAGCUCCGUAGUGGAUGCGGUCGGUGAAGAUCCAAGGGCCCUCGCAGGUAGGUGGGUCAGGAUGGAUGGCCCAGCCGUCCUCCUCGUGUUAGCCUCGCUCCUUGCCCUUCGUUCGCCCUUUUUCUUCAGCCCCAAAUCCUCCCCCGCCCCUCCAGAUCCCCGCCAAACUUCUGCAAGUUUCUCAAUUCGUAAAAGCGGGGCUGGUUGAGUUAGCCAACUGAUGUUAUUUGGGUUGAUUAAUCCUUUCCAGCCCUGACGCGGGGGAGGGGCGGCGUGGGACGGUGUGUGGGUGUGGGGAGGGGGGAGAUCAGUUUGUUUAAAGCCUGGAAAAGACGGGGCCGGAGAAGUGAUGAGCUUGAAAUUCAAGGAACAUUUAGGCGCAAAAAUUGGCUUUUAAACGCUCAACGUCUGGAGCCCUGCGUGUAAGAGAGGGGUCGAGGUUGUCCUAGUUUUGGGGGCACAUGGGCCGUUCUUCAGCAAAAAGUGACAUUUCUUCUGCCCGGAACAGGCAAAGGGGAAGAACUUGUGACAUAUGACAGUUUCUAUCCGGACUACCGUGUGACCUUGGGCAAGUCACUUAACUGUGCCUCAGUUACCUCAUCUGUAAAAUGGGGAUUGAGACCGUGAGCUCCACGUGGGACAAUCUGAUUUCCUUGUAUUUACCCCAGCGCUUAGAAAAGUCCUUGGCACAUAGUAAACGCCUAACAUAUACCAUUAGUAUUAUUUACUGCCCAAAACAACUUAAAUUAUCCUAAUAUCACAGUUCUGACUACCAAUCUGAAAGAACGUUUGGAAAGCUUUGACUCUUAAUAGUGGUGUCGUUAUGCAUAGGUGUGUAUCUGUUAAGCGUUUACCAUGUGUCAGACAAUGUACUAAGCGCUGGGAGUAGAUACGAGCUAAUCAGGUCGGGCAAAGUCCAGGUCCCACAUGGGGCUCACAGCCUUAAUCCCCCUUUGACAGAUGAGCUAACUGAGGCCCAGAGGAGUAAUGUGACUUGCCCAAGGUCACAUAGCAGACGAGUGGCAGAGCAGGAUUAGAACCCAGGUCCUUCUGACUCCCAUAUCCGCUAGGCCACUAUACUUCUCGGCUUCUUUAUCAGCUACUUUGUUUCGUGAAGUAAUCAUGUAGAUGGACAGUGCAGCCUUAACGAGUAUGCUGAGAGCACAUGAUUUUAAAGGGGGAAGAAAGCUUUCUGGAGGCAGUCCCAACAAAUAUGCGGUAAAUUGCUACACUUUUCGGAGGCCUGCCAGUGGGAAAGCAACUUAAUGAAGUCCACCGGGGGAGCUGCAGGUGCCGGAUCAGAGAGGUGAAAGGUCAUUUGUGGUAUUAAGCAGAGCCUGGUAGAAGAGAAACGAAAGACAACUUGGACUUCCAGAAAGAAUAAAGAUUCUUGUUCAACGUUCUGUAGAGGUGUACGGUCAGAAACUGUAGCGGCAGUAAAAGCAGAGAUUGAACGCUUACUAUGUGCAGAGCGCUGUGCUACGCGCUUGGGAUAAUCCAAUACAGUAGAAUUAACAGACAGGUUUCCUGCCCAUAUGAGAG
rnacentral:lncRNA from 1 species